AUUGAACGCUGGCGGCAGGCUUAACACAUGCAAGUCGAGCGGGGUGAUGGUGCUUGCACUAUCACUUAGCGGCGGACGGGUGAGUAAUGCUUAGGAAUCUGCCUAUUAGUGGGGGACAACAUCUCGAAAGGGAUGCUAAUACCGCAUACGUCCUACGGGAGAAAGCAGGGGAUCACUUGUGACCUUGCGCUAAUAGAUGAGCCUAAGUCGGAUUAGCUAGUUGGUGGGGUAAAGGCCUACCAAGGCGACGAUCUGUAGCGGGUCUGAGAGGGUGAUCCGCCACACUGGGACUGAGCCCCGGCCCAGCCCCCUAGGGGAGGAAGCAGUGGGAAUUUUUUCACAAUGGGCGCAGGCCUGAUGCCGCAACGCCGCGUGGAGGAUGAAGAUCUUCGGGUCGUAAACUCCUUUCGAUCGAGACGAACGGCCCCCGUGCUAAUCAGGGGGAGAAUGACGGUACCGAGAGAAGAAGCCCCGGCUAACUCCGUGCCAGCCGCCGCCGUAA
rnacentral:rRNA from 1 species